rnacentral:misc_RNA from 1 species
UUUCCGUAGGUGAACCUGCGGAAGGAUCAUUACCGAGUGCGGGUCUUUAUGGCCCAACCUCCCACCCGUGACUAUUGUACCUUGUUGCUUCGGCGGGCCCGCCAGCGUUUGCUGGCCGCCGGGGGGCGACUCGCCCCCGGGCCCGUGCCCGCCGGAGACCCCAACAUGAACCCUGUUCUGAAAGCUUGCAGUCUGAGUGUGAUUCUUUGCAAUCAGUUAAAACUUUCAACAAUGGAUCUCUUGGUUCCGGCAUCGAUGAAGAACGCAGCGAAAUGCGAUAACUAAUGUGAAUUGCAGAAUUCAGUGAAUCAUCGAGUCUUUGAACGCACAUUGCGCCCCCUGGUAUUCCGGGGGGCAUGCCUGUCCGAGCGUCAUUGCUGCCCUCAAGCCCGGCUUGUGUGUUGGGCCCUCGUCCCCCGGCUCCCGGGGGACGGGCCCGAAAGGCAGCGGCGGCACCGCGUCCGGUCCUCG